UAGAACUUUGCCCAUUAUUCUUUGAUGACGUGGCAAAAGGUGUACCAUUGGAUGAUUUGUAGGUCGGCGCUGACGUGGCUUCAUAUUGUCCGUCCGAUCCAGCAGCUGAAGAGAAAUAAUAGGAGCUGUAUGAUCGCGAGGUGAGAUAUGGGCCAUCCAUCCCGGGUCUUUUGAAGCUUCUUUCUUCUUCCUUGAUGAACCCUAGAUCAGCUCACCUCCUUCCUUCGCUCUUGAUCCUAUUCGUCGGUCCUCUAUGUUGAGGAUUGGCUUGAGCCGCGAGCAAAAUGCUCUCCCUCGCCUUGACAUGCUACGGCGAGGUAAGUCGUUGGCUUUCCUCCUAUAUGGCAAGCUGAUGAAUCCGACUGAGUGACGGCACGGGGUCCAUCGCCAAGAUUUGAGACCGAAAUGAAAGGUUGAAUCCAGCCCUUCAAGCUUUUCUUCGGCCGCUUCUAGCUCAUUCCAGAGCGCCGAGAGCUUGUUGAAGCAUGCCGUGAUAGACAUGUUUCCUUGCUUCAGUUCGGAUAUUGCUUGAGUAAUUGAAAAUAGCUUCGCCCGAUCCAAUUUUCUGUACAUUUCUUUUAUGUUUUCCCACAUAAUAUUUGAGUCCUCUGUUGGAGGAAGGCCGGCCGCGACAUCUGGGGAUAUGCAAUUUCCGAUCCACGUUCAGACAAGCUGAUUGGAUUUUUUCCAAUGUCGGGCCAGUCAUUCAUCGGUCGGAACAGGGACGGUUUUGUCAAGAAAACAGUCUUUGUCCUUUGUGAUAAGGGCUCGCUGGAAUUCCUGUGACCACGUCGAAUAAUUUUCUAAGCCGGAAAGUUGAUGGGUAAUGAGUUGUAUUUCUGGUCCGUCGACGGUGGAAGUGUACAGUGGGUUGCCGAUGGCGGCUUGGAAUGGAAACAGCAUGAAACCGGGUGGAGGAAUUGGGUAGGGAUUCAUACCCAUACCCGAGAUCCCUGGUUCUAAUGCUUGACCCGCAUGUUGUAUUUCGGGCUAGGUGUUGGAUUUGCUCCAACGUCGACUGGUGGGCUUCCUUGGUUAUGUUCUCCUUGGCCUUGAAUGACUGGACUUUGGAAAUUGAACCAUGGAUUUGGCCCAUACCAGAAUGGAUGGAAUGAACCCUGCAUAGGUAGCCACUGGGUGGGCUAGCGCGAAAUGGGCUGACCUUGGUUGGGUUGGGCCUGGACAGGUUGCCCUUGAGUGGGUUGAAUAGGUUCUUGACUCGGAAUCACUUCAAGAACAUUCUCCAUGUUGUCCUGAUUGUCUUCUGGAGUUCGAUUUUCCUCAGAUCUUGAGGAGUUGUUCAUGGUAUCGGUAAGAAAAUGUUGUUUUUCUUCUUUGAAUUUUGCUCAAAAACUGAUUCCUACACCGGAGUGCUAACCUUGUUUUGCAUAUUAGUGUUUUUCUGCAACGAGGAUAGGAAGGAACGGGAGGCAAUCAAAAGAAGGGUUUGCGGAAGCUAUACUAGAAUCAAGAAGCUACACUGGAAGCUCUGAUACCAUGAUACAAAUCGAAGAAUUGAAGAAGAAAAUUUGUAUUCUAUGUAUUUCAACUUAUCUAUUCUUCAAUAUAUAGUACAAAAUAUGAAUAAUAAAAGGAAAAUCUCUCCUAGGCAUAUCAAAUGAAAUCAAGUCUAAUCCUAGAUUGAUUCAUCAAUCAAUUACAAUUUCGGAUUGAUUUAUCGUA